rnacentral:rRNA from 2 species
GGGGGAUAACAUUUGGAAACAGAUGCUAAUACCGCAUAGAUCCAAGAACCGCAUGGUUCUUGGCUGAAAGAUGGCGUAAGCUAUCGCUUUUGGAUGGACCCGCGGCGUAUUAGCUAGUUGGUGAGGUAACGGCUCACCAAGGCGAUGAUACGUAGCCGAACUGAGAGGUUGAUCGGCCACAUAGGGACUGAGACACGGCCCAAACUCCUACGGGAGGCAGCAGUAGGGAAUCUUCCACAAUGGACGCAAGUCUGAUGGAGCAACGCCGCCGUGAGUGAAGAAGGCUUUCGGGUCGUAAAACUCUGUUGUUGGAGGAAGAAUGGUCGGCAAGAGUAACUGUUGUCGGCGUGACGGUAUCCAACCAGAAAGCCACGGCUAACUACGUGCCAGCAGCCGCGGUAAUACGUAGGUGGCAAGCGUUAUCCGGAUUUAUUGGGCGUAAAGCGAGCGCAGGCGGUUUUUUAAGUCUGAUGUGAAAGCCCUCGGGCUUAACCGAGGAAGCGCAUCGGAAACUGGGAAACUUUGAGUGCAGAAAGAGGACAGUGGAAACUCCAUGUGUAGCGGUGAAAAUGCGUAGAUAUAUGGAAAGAACACCAGUGGCGAAGGAGGCUGUCCUGGUCUGUAACUGACGCUGAGGCUCGAAAGCAUGGGGUAGCGAACAGGAUUAGAUACCCUGGUAGUCCAUGCCGUAAACGAUGAAUGCUAGGUGUUGGAGGGUUUCCGCCCUUCCAGUGCCGCAGCUAACGCAUUAAGCAUUCCGCCUGGGGAGUACGACCGCAAGGUUGAAACUCAAAGGAAUUGACGGGGGCCCGCACAAGCGGUGGAGCAUGUGGUUUAAUUCGAAGCAACGCGAAGAACCUUACCAGGUCUUGACAUCUUUUGAUCACCUGAGAGAUCAGGUUUCCCCUUCGGGGGCAAAAUGACAGGUGGUGCAUGGUUGUCGUCAGCUCGUGUCGUGAGAUGUUGGGUUAAGUCCCGCAACGAGCGCAACCCUUAUGACUAGUUGCCAGCAUUUAGUUGGGCACUCUAGUAAGACUGCCGGUGACAAACCGGAGGAAGGUGGGGAUGACGUCAAAUCAUCAUGCCCCUUAUGACCUGGGCUACACACGUGCUACAAUGGAUGGUACAACGAGUUGCGAGACCGCGAGGUCAAGCUAAUCUCUUAAAGCCAUUCUCAGUUCGGACUGUAGGCUGCAACUCGCCUACACGAAGUCGGAAUCGCUAGUAAUCGCGGAUCAGCACGCCGCGGUGAAUACGUUCCCGGGCCUUGUACACACCGCCCGUCA